rnacentral:rRNA from 1 species
UUCCGGUUGAUCCUGCCGGAGGCCAUUGCUAUCGGAAUCCGAUUUAGCCAUGCUAGUCGCACGGGUUAGACCCGUGGCGAACAGCUCAGUAACACGUGGCCAAACUACCCUGUGGACGAGGAUAAUCUCGGGAAACUGAGGCCAAUCCUUGAUAGGGCUUCCAUCCUGGAGUGGAGGAAGUCCAAAAGUUGCGCUGCAGCACCACAGGAUGUGGCUGCGGCCGAUUAGGUAGACGGUGGGGUAACGGCCCACCGUGCCAGUAAUCGGUACGGGUGAUGAGAGUCAGAACCCGGAGACGGUAUCUGAGACAAGAUACCGGGCCCUACGGGGCGCAGCAGGCGCGAAACCUUUACACUGCACGACAGUGCGAUAGGGGGAUUCCGAGUGCGAGGGCAUACAGUCCUCGCUUUUCUGGACCGUAAGGAGGUCCAAGAAUAAGGGCUGGGCAAGACCGGUGCCAGCCGCCGCGAUAAUACCGGCAGCCCGAGUGAUGGCCGAUAUUAUUGGGCCUAAAGCGUUCGUAGCCGGCCGGACAAGUCUGUUGGGAAAUCCACGUGCUCAACGCGUGGGCGUCCAGCGGAAACUGUCUGGCUUGGGGCCGGAGGACUCGAGGGGUACGUCCGGGGUAGGAGUGAAAUCCCGUAAUCCCGGACGGACCACCGGUGGCGAAAGCGCCUCGAGAAGACGGACCCGACGGUGAGGAACGAAAGCCAGGGUCUCGAACCGGAUUAGAUACCCGGGUAGUCCUGGCCGUAAACAAUGUCUGCUAGGUGU